UACAGAGGGGGCAAGCGUUGUUCGGAAUUACUGGGCGUAAAGGGCGCGUAGGCGGCCUUCUAAGUCGAACGUGAAAUCCCCGGGCUCAACCCGGGAACUGCGUCCGAUACUGGAAGGCUUGAAUCCGGGAGAGGGAUGCGGAAUUCCUAGUGUAGAGGUGAAAUUCGUAGAUAUUAGGAAGAACACCAGUGGCGAAGGCGGCUCACUGGCCCGGUACUGACGCUGAGGCGCGAAAGCGUGGGGAGCAAACAGG
rnacentral:rRNA from 1 species